CCAACAGCAACCAUGAGCUUCAUCACCAUCUUCAUCUGGAUGUUCACUAGCUACUGUUUCACAGAAUCAGCUGGUGAAGUGACAGCCACUCAGACGCCUGCAGUGAAAUCUGUUCGUCCAGGAGACUCAGUUACUGUAUCCUGUAAAACCAGUACUGAAGUUUACCAGGGUUGGGGUAAUCAGCCUUUAGCCUGGUACUUACAGAAACCUGGAGAAGCUCCUAAACUCCUGAUAUAUUUAGCAAGCACCCUCCAGUCAGGAACUCCAUCUAGAUUCAGUGGCAGUGGAUCUAACAGUGAUUUCACUCUGACCAUCAGUGGAGUCCAGACUGAAGAUGCUGGACAUUAUUACUGUCAGAGUUAUCACAGUAGUAAUGUGUUCACACAGUGA